rnacentral:rRNA from 1 species
UACAGAGGUCUCAAGCGUUGUUCGGAUUCAUUGGGCGUAAAGGGUGCGUAGGCGGCGCGGUAAGUCGGGUGUGAAAUCUCGGAGCUUAACUUCGAAACUGCAUUCGAUACUGCCGUGCUUGAGGACUGGAGAGGAGACUGGAAUUUACGGUGUAGCGGUGAAAUGCGUAGAUAUCGUAAGGAAGACCAGUGGCGAAGGCGGGUCUCUGGACAGUUCCUGACGCUGAGGCGCGAAAGCCAGGGGAGCAAACGGG